AUUAAAAUUUAAUAAUCUAUCACGUCGCGUCUUAAUACAUGCAGUCGAACGGGAAUUAUAGCAAUAUGAUGUCUUAGUGGCGAACGGGUGAGUAACGCGUUGGUGACCUGCCCCGAGUGAGGGAUAACAGUUCGAAAGGACUGCUAAUACCCCAUGUGGUCACGAGAGUUAGAGGUCUCAUGUCUAAAGGAGUAAUCCGCUUUGGGAGGGGCCUGCGUCCCAUCAGCUAGUUGGUAGGGUAAUGGCCUACCAAGGCUUCGACGGGUAGGGGACCUGAGAGGGUGACCCCCCACACUGGCACUGAAACACGGGCCAGACACCUACGGGUGGCAGCAGUAGGGAAUAUUGCACAAUGGGCGAAAGCCUGAUGCAGCAACGCCGCGUGCGCGAUGAAGGCCUUCGGGUCGUAAAGCGCUUUUCGGGGAGAUGAGGAAGGACAGUAUCCCCGGAAUAAGGCUCGGCUAACUACGUGCCAGCAGCCGCGGUAAAACGUAGGAGCCUAGCGUUAUCCGAAUUUACUGGGCGUAAAGCGCGUGCAGGCGGUUCGGUAAGUUGGAUGUGAAAUCUCCUGGCUCAACUGGGAGAGGUCGUUCAAUACUGUCGGACUCGAGGAUGGUAGAGGGAGGUGGAAUUCCCGGUGUAGUGGUGAAAUGCGUAGAUAUCGGGAGGAAUACCAGUGGCGAAGGCGGCCUCCUGGCCCAUUCCUGACGCUCAGACGCGAAAGCUAGGGGAGCGAACGGGAUUAGAAACCCCGGUAGUCCUAGCCGUAAACGAUGUGGACUUGGCGUUGGUGGGGUAAAAUCCAUCAGUGCCGGAGCUAACGCGGUAAGUCCACCGCCUGGGGACUACGGCCGCAAGGUUA
rnacentral:rRNA from 1 species